UGGGGAAUUUUGGACAAUGGGCGAAAGCCUGAUCCAGCAAUGCCGCGUGUGUGAAGAAGGCCUUCGGGUUGUAAAGCACUUUUGUCCGGAAAGAGAUUCUCUGGGUUAAUACCUCGGGGGGAUGACGGUACCGGAAGAAUAAGCACCGGCUAACUACGUGCCAGCAGCCGCGGUAAUACGUAGGGUGCAAGCGUUAAUCGGAAUUACUGGGCGUAAAGCGUGCGCAGGCGGUUUUGUAAGACGGAUGUGAAAUCCCCGGGCUUAACCUGGGAACUGCAUUCGUGACUGCAAGGCUAGAGUAUGGCAGAGGGGGGUAGAAUUCCACGUGUAGCAGUGAAAUGCGUAGAGAUGUGGAGGAAUACCGAUGGCGAAGGCAGCCCCCUGGGCCAAUACUGACGCUCAUGCACGAAAGCGUGGGGAGCAAACAGGAUUAGAUACCCUGGUAGUCCACGCCCUAAACGAUGUCAACUAGUUGUUGGGGAUUCAUUUCCUUAGUAACGUAGCUAACACGUGAAGUUGACCGCCUGGGGAGUACGGUCGCAAGAUUAAAACUCAAAUGAAUUGACGGGGUCAUAGCUGUUUCCU
rnacentral:rRNA from 1 species